UGAGCUAUGGUGUAAUGGUUAACACACCUCCCUUUGGAGGCGGUACUCCCGGUUCGAAUCCGGGUAGCUCAA
rnacentral:tRNA from 1 species